rfam:Parcubacteria (Nomurabacteria) bacterium GW2011_GWA2_40_9 TT24_C0009, whole genome shotgun sequence.
AAUCUGUUCUCCGAACUGUCACCGGAUGGUGGCGUGGCUGGGUCACCAGUCUAGGAAACAAGAUUGGAA